rnacentral:rRNA from 1 species
GCGUGAGAAUCUGCCCUCAGGAGGGGGAUAACGGCUGGAAACGGCCGCUAAUACCCCAUAUGCCGAGAGGUGAAAUGAGUUUCGCCUGAGGAUGAGCUCGCGUCUGAUUAGCUAGUUGGUGGGGUAAAGGCCUACCAAGGCUUCGAUCAGUAGCUGGUCUGAGAGGAUGAUCAGCCACACUGGGACUGAGACACGGCCCAGACUCCUACGGGAGGCAGCAGUGGGGAAUUUUCCGCAAUGGGCGAAAGCCUGACGGAGCAACGCCGCGUGAGGGAUGAAGGCCUCUGGGCUGUAAACCUCUUUUCUCAAGGAAGAAGAACUGACGGUACUUGAGGAAUAAGCCACGGCUAAUUCCGUGCCAGCAGCCGCGGUAAUACGGGAGUGGCAAGCGUUAUCCGGAAUUAUUGGGCGUAAAGCGUCCGCAGGCGGCCUCGUAAGUCUGUCGUUAAAGCGUGGAGCUUAACUCCAUUUCAGCGAUGGAAAACUGUGAGGCUUGAGUGUGNUAGGG